rnacentral:rRNA from 1 species
UACAGUUUGAUCCUGGCUCAGAUUGAACGCUGGCGGCAUGCCUUACACAUGCAAGUCGAACGGCAGCACGGGGGCAACCCUGGUGGCGAGUGGCGAACGGGUGAGUAACACAUCGGAACGUGUCCUGUUGUGGGGGAUAACCCACCGAAAGGUGAGCUAAUACCGCAUAACCUCGGGAGAGAAAAGCAGGGGACCUGAAAGGGCCUUGCGCCGAUUGGAGCGGCCGAUGUCCGAUUAGCUAGUUGGUGGGGUAAAGGCCUACCAAGGCGACGAUCGGUAGCUGGUCUGAGAGGAUGAUCAGCCACACUGGGACUGAGACACGGCCCAGACUCCUACGGGAGGCAGCAGUG